GCGGCGUGCCUAUACAUGCAAGUCGAGCGAACUGAUGAAGAGCUUGCUUUUGAUCAGUUAGCGGCGGACGGGUGAGUAACACGUGGGUAACCUGCCUGUAAGACUAGGAUAACUCCGGGAAACCGGGGCUAAUACUGGAUAACUUUUCUCUCCGCAUGGAGAGAGAUUGAAAGAUGGCUUCGGCUAUCACUUACAGAUGGACCCGCGGCGCAUUAGCUAGUUGGUGAGGUAACGGCUCACCAAGGCAACGAUGCGUAGCCGACCUGAGAGGGUGAUCGGCCACAUUGGGACUGAGACACGGCCCAAACUCCUACGGGAGGCAGCAGUAGGGAAUCUUCCGCAAUGGACGAAAGUCUGACGGAGCAACGCCGCGUGAGUGAAGAAGGUCUUCGGAUCGUAAAACUCUGUUGUUAGGGAAGAACAAGUAUCGUUCGAAUAGGGCGGUACCUUGACGGUACCUAACCAGAAAGCCACGGCUAACUACGUGCCAGCAGCCGCGGUAAUACGUAGGUGGCAAGCGUUGUCCGGAAUUAUUGGGCGUAAAGCGCGCGCAGGCGGUCUUUUAAGUCUGAUGUGAAAGCCCACGGCUCAACCGUGGAGGGUCAUUGGAAACUGGAAGACUUGAGUGCAGAAGAGGAGAGUGGAAUUCCACGUGUAGCGGUGAAAUGCGUAGAGAUGUGGAGGAACACCAGUGGCNGAGGCGACUCUCUGGUCUGUAACUGACGCUGAGGCGCGAAAGCGUGGGGAGCAA
rnacentral:rRNA from 1 species